rnacentral:rRNA from 1 species
CUACACAUGCAGUCGAACGGUGACAUCAGAGCUUGCUCUGGUUGAUCAGUGGCGAACGGGUGAGUAACACGUGAGUAACCUGCCCUUGACUCUGGGAUAACUCCGGGAAACCGGGGCUAAUACCGGAUACGAGACGCGACCGCAUGGUCGGCGUCUGGAAAGUUUUUCGGUCAAGGAUGGACUCGCGGCCUAUCAGCUUGUUGGUGAGGUAAUGGCUCACCAAGGCGUCGACGGGUAGCCGGCCUGAGAGGGCGACCGGCCACMCUGGGACUGAGACACGGCCCAGACUCCUACGGGAGGMAGCAGUGGGGAAUAUUGCACAAUGGGCGMAAGCCUGAUGCAGCGACGCCGCGUGAGGGAUGAAGGCCUUCGGGUUGUAAACCUCUUUCAGUAGGGAAGAAGCGAAAGUGACSGUWCCUGCAGAAGAAGCGCCGGCUAACUACGUGCCAGCAGCCGCGGKAAUACGUAGGG